rnacentral:piRNA from 1 species
GGCAGCCUAUUUGAAAUUUAAAUCAAA